rnacentral:rRNA from 1 species
CAGCAGCCACGGGAAUACAGAGGGUGCGAGCGUUAAUCGGAUUUACUGGGCGUAAAGCGUGCGUAGGCGGCUUUUUAAGUCGGAUGUGAAAUCCCUGAGCUUAACUUAGGAAUUGCAUUCGAUACUGGGAAGCUAGAGUAUGGGAGAGGAUGGUAGAAUUCCAGGUGUAGCGGUGAAAUGCGUAGAGAUCUGGAGGAAUACCGAUGGCGAAGGCAGCCAUCUGGCCUAACACUGACGCUGAGGUACGAAAGCAUGGGGAGCAAACAGGAUUAGAUACCCCAGUAGUCCCUGUCUCUUAUAC